UACAGAGGGUGCAAGCGUUGUUCGGAAUUACUGGGCGUAAAGCGUGCGUAGUCGGUAUUGAGAGUCACGGGUGAAAUCCCAAGGCUUAACCUUGGAACUGCCUGUGAGACCUCAGUACUAGAGUGUGAGAGGGGAUAGUGGAAUACCCAGUGUAGCGGUGAAAUGCGUAGAUAUUGGGAGGAACACCAGUGGCGAAGGCGGCUUACUGGACCGGUUCUGGACGCGUGAGGCGCGAAAGCGUGGGGAGCAAACGGG
rnacentral:rRNA from 1 species